UACGUAGGGUCCGAGCGUUGUCCGGAAUUACUGGGCGUAAAGAGCUCGUAGGUGGUUUGUCGCGUUGUUCGUGAAAACUCACAGCUCAACUGUGGGCGUGCGGGCGAUACGGGCAGACUUGAGUACUGCAGGGGAGACUGGAAUUCCUGGUGUAGCGGUGGAAUGCGCAGAUAUCAGGAGGAACACCGGUGGCGAAGGCGGGUUUCUGGGCAGUAACUGACGCUGAGGAGCGAAAGCGUGGGGAGCGAACAGG
rnacentral:rRNA from 1 species